rnacentral:rRNA from 1 species
CGGAGGGAUCAUUACCGAGUUUACAACUCCCAAACCCCUGUGAACAUACCUAUACGUUGCCUCGGCGGAUCAGCCCGCGCCCCGUAAAACGGGACGGCCCGCCCGAGGACCCCUAAACUCUGUUUUUAGUGGAACUUCUGAGUAAAACAAACAAAUAAAUCAAAACUUUCAACAACGGAUCUCUUGGUUCUGGCAUCGAUGAAGAACGCAGCAAAAUGCGAUAAGUAAUGUGAAUUGCAGAAUUCAGUGAAUCAUCGAAUCUUUGAACGCACAUUGCGCCCGCCAGUAUUCUGGCGGGCAUGCCUGUUCGAGCGUCAUUUCAACCCUCAAGCUCAGCUUGGUGUUGGGACUCGCGGUAACCCGCGUUCCCCAAAUCGAUUGGCGGUCACGUCGAGCUUCCAUAGCGUAGUAAUCAUACACCUCGUUACUGGUAAUCGUCGCGGCCACGCCGUUAAACCCCAACUUCUGAAUGUUGACCUCGGAUCAGGUAGGAAUACCCGCUGAACUUAAGCAUAUCAAAGGCGGGGAGGAAA